rnacentral:lncRNA from 1 species
UCGGAGUUCAAAUUUAUUUUUAGGGUAAAUUACUCAAAUGGUCCUCAAAUUUGUACCCGAUUUAUAUUUUGGUCCAUAAACUAAAUUAUUCGUUCAAAUGAUCCACCAACUUUUAUUAAUCGGCGCCUUGGUCCUACCGUUACAUUUUCUGUUAAAUUUAGCCAUUUGAGCAGCACAUGCUACAUUUGUAGGGGUAAAUAAGACUUUUGACCUAUGUAGGUAUCACCAUUGUAUCACAACUUUAUCACCUAUGUAUAUAACCACUUUAUCACUAUUUAGGGAACAUAGGACGGUUAUGGAUGGUUUUACCCUUAUAUUUGACGGCAACAUUAAUGUAAUGUAACGGUAGGAUCAAUGGAGCAAUUAAUAUAGAGUUGAUGGACUAUUUGAACGAAUAAAUUAAUUGAGGAACCAAAAUAUAAAUUUGGUAUAAGUUUGAG